rnacentral:rRNA from 1 species
AGUGGGGAAUAUUGCGCAAUGGGCGAAAGCCUGACGCAGCAACGCCGCGUGAGGGAUGAAGGUCUUUGGAUUGUAAACCUCUGUCGAAUGGGAAGAAAUUUUGACGGUACCAUUAAAGGAAGCCCCGGCUAACUCCGUGCCAGCAGCCGCGGUAAUACGGAGGGGGCAAGCGUUGUUCGGAAUUAUUGGGCGUAAAGAGUAUGUAGGCGGUUAGAUAAGUCAGGUGUGUAAGCCCAGGGCUCAACCCUGGAAUUGCACUUGAAACUGUUUAACUUGAGUUCAGGAGAGGAAAGCGGAAUUCCCAGUGUAGCGGUGAAAUGCAUUGAUAUUGGGAAGAACAUCGGUGGCGAAGGCGGCUUUCUGGUCUGAUACUGACGCUGAGAUACGAAAGCGUGGGGAGCGAACGGGAUUAGAUACCCCGGUAGUCCACGCCCUAAACGAUGUGCACUAGGUCGAGGUAGCUCUGACGCUUUCUUGGCCGAAGAGAAAUCGUUAAGUGCACCGCCUGGGGAGUACGGUCGCAAGGCUAAAACUCAAAGGAAUUGACGGGGGCUCACACAAGCGGUGGAGCAUGUUGCUUAAUUCGAAGCAACGCGAAGAACCUUUCCAGGGCUUGACAUGCAUGGAUUAACUGUUGGAAACUUCAGCCACACCCUUCGGGGUGGAACAUGCACAGGUGCUGCAUGGCUGUCGUCAGCUCGUGCUGUGAAGUGUCGGGUUAAGUCCCUUAACGAGCGCAACCCUUAUCGCUAGUUGCCAGCGAGUCAUGUCGGGGACUCUAGCGAGACUGCCGGUGUCAAACCGGAGGAAGGUGGGGAUGACGUCAAGUCAUCAUGGCCCUUAUGCCCUGGGCUGCAAACGUGCUACAAUGGCGCGCACAAAGCGAGGCGAUGUCGCGAGGCGGAGCAAAUCGCAAAAAACGCGCCCCAGUUCAGAUUGCAGGCUGCAACUCGCCUGCAUGAAGUUGGAAUCGCUAGUAAUCGGAGAUCAGCUACGCUCCGGUGAAUGCGUCCCUGAGCCUUGUACACACCGCCCGUCACGUCAUGGAAGUCGGGAGUGCCCGAAGUCGCCUCGAUUCAGGGGUGCCUACGGCAAGCUCGAUGACUGGGACG